rnacentral:rRNA from 1 species
AGACUCCUACGGGAGGCAGCAGUGAGGAAUAUUGCGCAAUGGGGGAAACCCUGACGCAGCGACGCCGCGUGAGUGAGGAAGGUUUUCGGAUCGUAAAGCUCUGUCAGAAGGGAAGAAGUGUUAUACAGUUAAUAUCUGUAUAAUUUGACGGUACCUUCAGAGGAAGCACCGGCUAACUCCGUGCCAGCAGCCGCGGUAAUACGGAGGGUGCAAGCGUUGUUCGGAAUUACUGGGCGUAAAGGGCGCGUAGGCGGCCUGAUAAGUCAGAUGUGAAAGUCCACGGCUCAACCGUGGAAGUGCAUUUGAAACUGUCAGGCUUGAGUAUCGGAGGGGAGUGUGGAAUUCCCGGUGUAGAGGUGAAAUUCGUAGAGAUCGGGAGGAACACCGGUGGCGAAGGCGACACUCUGGACGAAUACUGACGCUGAGGCGCGAAAGCGUGGGGAGCAAACAGGAUUAGAUACCCUGGUAGUCCACGCCGUAAACGAUGUGAACUAGGGGUAGGGGGGGUGUUGAUCCCUCCUGUCCCGCAGCUAACGCACUAAGUUCACCGCCUGGGGAGUACGGUCGCAAGAUUAAAACUCAAGGAAUUGACGGGGACCCGCACAAGCAG